GUGGGGAAUAUUCCGCAAUGGACGAAAGUCUGACGGAGCAACGCCGCGUGAGUGAUGAAGGUUUUCGGACUGUAAAGCUCUGUUGUUUAGGACGAAAGUGCCUGUUGCAAAUAGUUACAGGUAUUGACGGUACUGAACGAGGAAGCCACGGCUAACUACGUGCCAGCAGCCGCGGUAAUACGUAGGUGGCAAGCGUUGUCCGGAAUUAUUGGGCGUAAAGAGCAUGUAGGCGGGAAUCUAAGUCUGUUGUGAAAAUGCGGGGCUCAACCCCGUAUGGCGAUGGAAACUGGGUUUCUUGAGUGCAGGAGAGGAAAGGGGAAUUCCCAGUGUAGCGGUGAAAUGCGUAGAUAUUGGGAGGAACACCAGUGGCGAAGGCGUCUUUCUGGACUGUGUCUGACGCUGAGAUGCGAAAGCCAGGGUAGCGAACGGGAUUAGAAACCCGUGUAGUCC
rnacentral:rRNA from 1 species